rnacentral:rRNA from 1 species
AUGCCGAGUUCGUCAGUCCGUCAGUUCGCCGGUAGGAUCCGCAGCUGUGAGGGAGCAUUACUUGCAUCUGAAUUGGCUGAUUGCAUUGUUAAACUCUGGUAUGUUGCGUCUAGCACAAAGGCCCUGAAGAUGGAUGACACGAUCUUGGAAUCCUAUGUGGUCUCUGGUAAGGGUACGUCCAACGACAAUGAGCAGCCCGAACUAAAGCCUGUCGGUGAGCCGAGCGCUGGGCCAACCACUGUCGUCUGUCUACCUCCUUCCCCGGACCAACGUGCUAUUGACCACGCAAGCUUCCUUAAGGAGCUUGUGCCCAACGAUACUAAAAGGAAAAAUUGCUCGAGUAUUGAACUACUUAUUCAGUCAUGCUAUUACUGA